UCCCUUGUAGCUCAGUUGGUAAAGAAUCUGCCUGCAAUGCAGGAGAUCCAGGUUCGAUUCCUAGGUGGGAA
rnacentral:tRNA from 1 species